rnacentral:lncRNA from 1 species
CUUAACCCUCAUGUUCGAAUUUCUCUUUUAUCUGCUUAGCUUAUGAUUCUAUACUAUGUCUAUCCUUGGAAGCCAUACUUUGUGUGAAGGGAAGAAAAAUAACAUCCAAUGAAAAAGACCCUUUCAACCUGGGUUGAGAGUUUUUAUCUAAAUAAGGAAACAUUUUUGUUUUGUUUUCUUUGUGUCUUUGUUUGUUUUUUUGUUUUUUGUUUUGUUUUGUUUUUUGUUUUUGUUUCUUUUUUCAAGGCAGGGUUUUUCUGAGUAGUUCUGGCUGUCUUGGAACUCUGAGAUCUGCCUGUCUGCCUCCUAAGUGCUGGGAUUAAAGGUGUAUACCACCACCUCUCUACUAAGAAUUAAAGCAACAACAACAACAACAAAAAACAAGUACGUUAAGAAAAGAUAAAAGAUAUUUAUAUUUCUUUAAAAUUACUUUUUAUCUUCAGUUUAGGAUUGCCAUUGUUUGGGGUGGGACUUAGUGCGUACAUUUAAAUCGCUUGUCUAUAGAAACGAUAGUGUAUUGUGUUAGAUCCUAAAAUUUUUAAACAGUUUCUUUUAUUUCUUACACUAUCGAUUAGGAAUUCCUGGGACCUCCAUGUUGUAGGAAUGGGAAGAGGCUAAUUCUUUUAAUGAUUUCAAAAGCUUUUAUUGCUGUUGUUAUUAUCAUUGUGUUUGCCGGCCCCUGUGGCUCCCAGUGCCCAUGUGUGCCCGUGUUGGGAUUAGAGAAUAGCAUUGUGGAGUUCUUUCUUCACUUCCACUCUUAUCCCAUGAGUUCUGAGGACUGUCCACAGCUCAUCAGGCAUGUCCUAUAAGUGAUCUGCCUGCUGAACCAUCCCAGCGGGCCAGUACCCCAUUUUUAAGAUUAGUUUGAAGACUGACGUGUAAGGACGAAGCCCAAGCAUGCAACCUCUAACAAAAGAUCAACUCAAUUGCUAAGUACUUUUCAGGGGAGAAAAACACUGUUUCAUUUCUUGCAUGAAUUAGUGUUAGGUGCUUAUUUCCCAAAUUGCAUAUGGAACACUGUUCAUAAACCUUCUAUUAGGAAGAAUUUUGUGAUCUGAUGUCUGGGUAUAAGCAACACUUGUCUGUUGCCUUCUUGUAGCAAAUAUUGUCCAGGUAAUAUUUUAAGCCUCGAAAAGAUAGAAGAAAAAUUGUACCAAGUAGCACACCCUGAAUGUGACAUAGGAGCCCCUGUUCUGUGAAGCACUUGAUGCUAACGUUCUGGGGAGCAUAAGCUGUAAGAACGAAAAGUACUGUUUUCAGCUUAUGUGCUGGAAAGUGUUAAAUAUUGUAUCCUUGGAAUCAGAGCUCCUAUGGGUACGUUUAUAGUUCAUUAAACAGAAGUGUUCAGUUUUGCUUCUUCUGAUGUCCACUAUGCAUUUAUGCCCACAGAACUGGUUCUUGGCAAGCUUGUUCCCAGCAUAAGAGAGUCUCUCCCCAUCCCAACCCCAACCCCAACCCCAACCCCAACUUGGAGACUGUCUUCUUAUGCAGCUAUGGCUGGGCUGGAACUCACUCUGUAGCUGCUUCUGCUUCCCUGGUGUGCCUUCAUGUUAAAGAUGUUUCCGUCUCAGUUCUGUCUAUUACUGCACCCUUGACCUCUGACAUCUGAGCAGUGGAAGCAGUGGGGUUUGAGGGUUCGCUUGACAUAGUCUGAUAGCUAGGAUGAAACACUCCCCAUCCAGCCUCCCCAAAAGGAACACAUUCCCUUAGUAUAUAUCUUUCAGCCAAUAAAACAAAAUGACCUACCUAGUAUUUUUAUAGGCAAAUUUUGCAUGUUUAUCCCCAAACCUAAUAUGAGAAGUAAGAAAGCUGUUUAGGAAAUUAUUUCUCUAAAUUGUAUGAUCUGACAAAGUACACUAUCAUUUCUAUAGAUAAGUGAUUAAACAUAUGCACUAAGUCCCACCAUGGCAGUCCCAAACUGGAGAUAUAAAGUAAUUUUGCACAUCUAUGCGGAGAAGUACCUGAGGUCAGUUGUAGUGUUGCUCUGAGGAGGAGCUCUGGCCUGGCCAAACACAAAUAUAGCAUCUGGCCUUACUGAUUGGUUUUCACUUAGUAGAGUUGUUAACACUUCUCCAUUCAAGCGUGGUGGUUUGUCCACUGCAUUGGGCAUUGGUUACAUGUUUUGCUUUAGGAAAACUCAUUUGUCUCUUGGCUAUGCAUGCUGUGUGUUUUGUUACUUGGAAGAAUUUGACAGUCAUAGUCACUGGCCUGCCCUCUAGACCACAGAUCUUCAUAAAGAUCGCAGCUGCUUUCCCUCAUUGAAUAUGAUGAAGACACAGCAGUUCACCUAAGUCAAGCCUCCCACCUGCCUGAGGUUGUAUUGUCCCAGUAGGCCCUGGGAAACUGUCAGCUUCUUCACCACUGCUAUUCAGAACCGUACUUUUACUUCCAACUUUCGUAAACUGCAAGUGCGAUGCUGGAAGCAUACACAGCACGAGUUUAAGACCAGUGAAAUGUUUGAAUUCUGGCUGAUUUAUGUUCCUCCUUACAAUAAAAGCUCUGCAUUGUUGCUUUUAGCUUUUAGAGGAAGGAUUGCUAAUCUGGAUCUGGGACUUGCUGAUGGCAAAGUACACACUUGGGGAAAUUAUUUCGGAAACUCUCAGACACCAAGAUGUUAUUUAACCCAACAAGUAGUGAUUUUUUUUCCCCCAAGUCUGCCAUUUAAUAAGUAAUUUAUACAGUCUUAAGGUGUUCCCUGGUAUUUUGUGGCUGGUUGUUCAUGUAACUGGAGUGAAUUGUAUUGUAAAGGAUAAGCAAAGCAGGUAUUUGUUGAGCAUGUCCUGUGUUCCUGCAAACGUUAAAAUGGACUUUCUUUAAUCCCUAUAAUUAGCACUCUUACCAAACAAGUGAACAACUGGUGGUUGUAAAUAAGCUCUGGUUUGAAGUCUGGUCAUGUAGACUGGACAUAGAAUAAGUGACAUUGUCAUGUGUUGUGUGCAAAUGGCACCAGGGCCUCAGCUUUUGAGGAAGACAUUGACUGUGGCAGAUGUGAUAUGGGUUGUCCAGCAGUCUUGUGAUAAAGAUCUGUGGUGGGGGUUGCUGAAACACAGGAGGAAAUCCCAGCUUCUCUAGAUGGAGCAAAGGAAACAACCCUAAUGGGGGCCUCUCCAUCUGUAGCCUUUGUGAAAUGGAAGUUCUUCCAAGGUUGACAAGGACACUGUAAUAAAAUGCCUUUACAUCACCACCACUGCCCGGCUUCUUCUUCCACUCUUUCCUAUUUCCUUGAUCAUUAAGUGGGAUUCCUCAUCUUCUGAGGGCCCCAUCCUGAUAAGAGUUGGGACCAAAGUCUGCAUAGCCUUUUAUCGAGGACCAAGACUACAGAAAGUAUGUUCUGUGCUUAUAGUAGAGGUGACAGAUCAGUCGUGUCCUUCCCUCCUACAAACCCUCCUCAUCACCA